rnacentral:rRNA from 1 species
AUACGGAGGGUCCAAGCGUUAUCCGGAAUCAUUGGGUUUAAAGGGUGCGCAGGCGGUUUAUUAAGUCAGUGGUGAAAUCUCGAGGCUCAACCUCGAAACUGCCAUUGAUACUGAUAAACUCGAGUUCAGUUGGAGUAGGCGGAAUGUGUAGUGUAGCGGUGAAAUGCUUAGAUAUUACACAGAACACCGAUAGCGAAGGCAGCUUACUAAACUGAUACUGACGCUGAGGCACGAAAGCGUGGGGAGCGAACAGGAUUAGAAACCCCAGUAGUCC